rnacentral:tRNA from 1 species
GAAAAGAUGGCUCAGUGGUAGAGUGCUUGCCUCGAAUGCAUGAAGCCCUGGGUCUGUUUC